rnacentral:rRNA from 1 species
UAGGGAAUCUUCCGCAAUGGACGAAAGUCUGACGGAGCAACGCCGCGUGAGUGAAGAAGGAUUUCGGUUCGUAAAACUCUGUUGUUAGGGAAGAAAAAAUGUAUAGUAACUAUAUACAAAAGAGACGGUACCUAACCAGAAAGCCACGGCUAACUACGUGCCAGCAGCCGCGGUAAUACGUAGGUCCCGAGCGUUGUCCGGAUUUAUUGGGCGUAAAGCGAGCGCAGGCGGUUAGAAAAGUCUGAAGUGAAAGGCAGUGGCUCAACCAUUGUAGGCUUUGGAAACUGUUUAACUUGAGUGCAGAAGGGGAGAGUGGAAUUCCAUGUGUAGCGGUGAAAUGCGUAGAUAUAUGGAGGAACACCGGUGGCGAAAGCGGCUUUUUGGCCUGCAACUGACACUGAGGCGCGAAAGCGUGGGGAGCAAACAGG